ensembl:lncRNA
GCAGAGUAGAGCUGAUACUGGCCCUUUUUGUCAGGCCAUCUCACUGUUAUCACGGUAUCUUUUUUCCAAUGUUGUGGGUUCAAUUUGUCCCUAGACACUCCGCAACCACUCAGGUUUACCCACUUGAGGUCCCCUCAGCAAACGAGUCCUCUUCAAAAAAUGAAAAAAGGCAGUGGAAAUCUCGGCACAUCCAUUUUCCCACAAAUUAAUCUGAAUAAAGGCUAAGCGUAAGCAAGCUGGAACUGGAACCACAAUUUAAACUUUACUGUAACCGUCCGUUUACUUCACGCGAGUACGCAUACAUGCGGUAUGUUCUAUACAUGUAUUUCGCGCCCUUUUCAUUUUGAACUGUGAGCGUGGUACUGGCUGCUAUCAAGCUCUUGUCUACUGAUAAAAUCUUUCAUACAAAACGUCUAUUUACGGGUAACGUUACUCAUCACUUAGUUUUCAUUUACAUUUUUUUUUAAAUCGGAACUUUGCCGUGGAACAAGGUCUUGUCGACUUAAAUCAGUAAGCUAUCAGAAUCCAACCAGUACGGUCGUGGACGACAUGAAGAAAAUGUUAAACAGUUGUUAAAUCAAAUCGACCUGAUAAUGGCGCAGCGAGGCCCAUACAAGAAGUAUCCUUUGGAUGUGGAGGCCGAGAUGCCUGCAACUACCAAAAGGCGCUGGUUGCAGGCAAAAGAUGCCCAAACAAUACAUGGCAACAUAUGUUCUGAAAUGGAAUCUCAGGAACCAGCCAAUUCAGAAGAUUUUGAGGUACUUCCAGAAACUGAACGUGAGCAAUACACAGAUUCAGCAAAGAUUGAAGAUGUGGAUGAAUAUCCAGAAGCUGAACCAGAGGAAAGCAAUAAUUCUUUUGACCAUGAGAGGACUAACAGUUCAGAUGAGGAAUCUGAGGUGUGUAGAAUGAAAUGUUUACCCAGAAAUGAAAUAUAUCUAUUAUUCAACCUCAUAUUAUUAUUUUUUUAUCAUCAAUGGAACACAAAAGGAUAUUACAAAAAGAUUAUCAAGUUUACAAGAGCUUGCUCUAUUUCAUUAAUUUAGUUAGUUAUUCAGAUUAAUGCUUCUUU